rnacentral:rRNA from 1 species
UACGAGGGGGGCAAGCGUUGUUCGGAUUUAUUGGGCGUAAAGGGUGCGUAGGCGGUUUGGCAAGUCUUGUGUGAAAUCUUUGGGCUCAACCCAAAGCCUGCAUAAGAAACUGCCGGGCUUGAGUAUGGGAGAGGUGAGUGGAAUUUCCGGUGUAGCGGUGAAAUUCGUAGAUAUUCGCAAGAACACCAGUGGCGAAGGCGGCUCACUGGCCCGGUACUGACGCUGAGGUGCGAAAGCGUGGGGAGCAAACAGG